rnacentral:lncRNA from 1 species
UGUUGAUGAAUACUCAAGGUACACCUAGAUUGUUUUUCUUAAAGAAAAAUAUGACACCUUUAUCACAUUUUAAAGACCGUGUCAUCGUGUCAUACCCCAAAUUUUGUCCGAGUUCCUUUUUACAUUUUGAGAAGCUUUUCAUUUUAAAUUGGUAAGUUAUCUCAGUGGGUAAUGCAGUGAGGAUGUGAAGCAUAUGGUCGCAAGUUCAAACCUCAUUGUUUGUUGUUCCUUUUAUUUUAAGAGUUUUAAUUAUAAUUUUUGUUUUUGUUUUUUAUUUUAAAAUUAAUUUUCAUUUUUUAUUUAUUUUAUGCUUUUGACAACUUUUUUUCAACUAAAAACAUUUUUU